GACGAACGCUGGCGGCGCGCCUAACACAUGCAAGUCGAACGAGCGAGCGAGAGCUUGCUUUCUUGAGCGAGCGGCGAACGGGUGAGUAACGCGUGAGGAACCUGCCUCAAAGAGGGGGACAACAGUUGGAAACGACUGCUAAUACCGCAUAAGCCCACGACCCGGCAUCGGGUUGAGGGAAAAGGAGCAAUCCGCUUUGAGAUGGCCUCGCGUCCGAUUAGCUAGUUGGUGAGGUAACGGCCCACCAAGGCGACGAUCGGUAGCCGGACUGAGAGGUUGAACGGCCACAUUGGGACUGAGACACGGCCCAGACUCCUACGGGAGGCAGCAGUGGGGAAUAUUGCACAAUGGGGGAAACCCUGAUGCAGCGACGCCGCGUGGAGGAAGAAGGUCUUCGGAUUGUAAACUCCUGUUGUUGAGGAAGAUAAUGACGGUACUCAACAAGGAAGUGACGGCUAACUACGUG
rnacentral:rRNA from 1 species